rnacentral:rRNA from 1 species
AGGCGGCCGCGUCUUCCUAGUGAGGGGAAGGUUGAUCCUGGCGGAGGCUACUGCUAUUGGGAUUCGAUUUAGCCAUGCAAGUUGAAUGAAUUUAAAUUCAUGGCGUACGGCUCAGUAACACGUGGAUAACUUACCCUUAGGACUGGGAUAACUCUGGGAAACUGGGGAUAAUACCGGAUAUUAGGCUAUGUCUGCAAUGGUUUGCCUUUGAAAUGUUUUUUUUUUCGCCUAAGGAUAGAUCUGCGGCUGAUUAGGUCGUUGGUGGGGUAAUGGCCCACCAAGCCGAUGAUCGGUACGGGUUGUGAGAGCAAGGGCCCGGAGAUGGAACCUGAGACAAGGUUCCAGACCCUACGGGGUGCAGCAGGCGCGAAACCUCCGCAAUGUACGAAGGUGCGACGGGGGGAUCCCAAGUGUUAUGCUUAAAGGUAUGACUUUUCAUUAGUGUAAAAAGCUUUUAGAAUAAGAGCUGGGCAAGACCGGUGCCAGCCGCCGCGGUAACACCGGGCAGCUCGAGUGGUAGC